CAUCUUCGGGGCAGGGUGAAAUUCCCGACCGGCGGUAAAGUCCGCGAGCGCUGCAGCGUUGAUUUGGUGAGAUUCCAAAACCGACAGUACAGUCUGGAUGAUAGAAGAU
rnacentral:ncRNA from 1 species